UGCAGUCGACGAACUCUGGUAUUGAUUGGUGCUUGCAUCAUGAUUUACAUUUGAGUGAGUGGCGAACUGGUGAGUAACACGUGGGAAACCUGCCCAGAAGCGGGGGAUAACACCUGGAAACAGAUGCUAAUACCGCAUAACAACUUGGACCGCAUGGUCCGAGUUUGAAAGAUGGCUUCGGCUAUCACUUUUGGAUGGUCCCGCGGCGUAUUAGCUAGAUGGUGGGGUAACGGCUCACCAUGGCAAUGAUACGUAGCCGACCUGAGAGGGUAAUCGGCCACAUUGGGACUGAGACACGGCCCAAACUCCUACGGGAGGCAGCAGUAGGGAAUCUUCCACAAUGGACGAAAGUCUGAUGGAGCAACGCCGCGUGAGUGAAGAAGGGUUUCGGCUCGUAAAACUCUGUUGUUAAAGAAGAACAUAUCUGAGAGUAACUGUUCAGGUAUUGACGGUAUUUAACCAGAAAGCCACGGCUAACUACGUGCCAGCAGCCGCGGUAAUACGUAGGUGGCAAGCGUUGUCCGGAUUUAUUGGGCGUAAAGCGAGCGCAGGCGGUUUUUUAAGUCUGAUGUGAAAGCCUUCGGCUCAACCGAAGAAGUGCAUCGGAAACUGGGAAACUUGAGUGCAGAAGAGGACAGUGGAACUCCAUGUGUAGCGGUGAAAUGCGUAGAUAUAUGGAAGAACACCAGUGGCGAAGGCGGCUGUCUGGUCUGUAACUGACGCUGAGGCUCGAAAGUAUGGGUAGCAAACAGGAUUAGAUACCCUGGUAGUCCAUACCGUAAACGAUGAAUGCUAAGUGUUGGAGGGUUUCCGCCCUUCAGUGCUGCAGCUAACGCAUUAAGCAUUCCGCCUGGGGAGUACGGCCGCAAGGCUGAAACUCAAAGGAAUUGACGGGGGCCCGCACAAGCGGUGGAGCAUGUGGUUUAAUUCGAAGCUACGCGAAGAACCUUACCAGGUCUUGACAUACUAUGCAAAUCUAAGAGAUUAGACGUUCCCUUCGGGGACAUGGAUACAGGUGGUGCAUGGUUGUCGUCAGCUCGUGUCGUGAGAUGUUGGGUUAAGUCCCGCAACGAGCGCAACCCUUAUUAUCAGUUGCCAGCAUUAAGUUGGGCACUCUGGUGAGACUGCCGGUGACAAACCGGAGGAAGGUGGGGAUGACGUCAAAUCAUCAUGCCCCUUAUGACCUGGGCUACACACGUGCUACAAUGGAUGGUACAACGAGUUGCGAACUCGCGAGAGUAAGCUAAUCUCUUAAAGCCAUUCUCAGUUCGGAUUGUAGGCUGCAACUCGCCUACAUGAAGUCGGAAUCGCUAGUAAUCGCGGAUCAGCAUGCCGCGGUGAAUACGUUCCCGGGCCUUGUACACACCGCCCGUCACACCAUGAGAGUUUGUAACACCCAAAGUCGGUGGGGUAACCUUU
rnacentral:rRNA from 2 species